UUUAUUUUCGUUUCUUCCCCUGGGUUGCUAAAACAGAAAAACAGUUUUUUUCCUUCUAUCUCCCAGACCCUUCCCCAGUAACAUUUAUGGUUUUAAAGUCAGAGAAGUCAACAAAUAAUGAACAAACUGUAAGUAAAAUUUUUAGGGUAAAAACUUGAAGAUGUUUUCAAAUUCUGUUUUCCUUACUUUUCUUUUUCCUUUUUUCUUCUUUUUAUAAACCCAGAUGAGUUAUCACCACCUUGUUCUGAACAACACAACAGGGAGCAAAUUUUAAUUGGCUUGGAAAAGUUUAUUCAAAAAGAAUAUGAUGAAAAGGCAAGGUUGUGCUUAUUUGGCUCUUCUAAGAAUGGAUUUGGAUUUCGUGAUAGUGAUCUGGAUAUUUGUAUGACCCUGGAAGGCCAUGAAAAUGCAGAGGUAAGAGUGUUUGGAAAGCGUUAUGUAAGUUUAUUUUCUCCCAAUGACAAUUCUAUGUUUAUUUUUGUAUGUGAUAUUGAUAAAAAUGUGGUAUCACUCUUUGUAUA
rnacentral:sRNA from 1 species